CUUCGGGUCUAGUGGCGCACGGGUGCGUAACGCGUGGGAAUCUGCCCUUGGGUUCGGAAUAACUUCGGGAAACUGAAGCUAAUACCGGAUGAUGACGUAAGUCCAAAGAUUUAUCGCCCAAGGAUGAGCCCGCGUAGGAUUAGCUAGUUGGUGAGGUAAAGGCUCACCAAGGCGACGAUCCUUAGCUGGUCUGAGAGGAUGAUCAGCCACACUGGGACUGAGACACGGCCCAGACUCCUACGGGAGGCAGCAGUGGGGAAUAUUGGACAAUGGGCGAAAGCCUGAUCCAGCAAUGCCGCGUGAGUGAUGAAGGCCUUAGGGUUGUAAAGCUCUUUUACCCGGGAUGAUAAUGACAGUACCGGGAGAAUAAGCUCCGGCUAACUCCGUGCCAGCAGCCGCGGUAAUACGGAGGGAGCUAGCGUUGUUCGGAAUUACUGGGCGUAAAGCGCACGUAGGCGGCUUUGUAAGUUAGAGGUGAAAGCCUGGAGCUCAACUCCAGAAUUGCCUUUGAUACUGCAUCGCUUGAAUUCAGGAGAGGUGAGUGGAAUUCCGAGUGUAGAGGUGAAAUUCGUAGAUAUUCGGAAGAACACCAGUGGCGAAGG
rnacentral:rRNA from 1 species